UGGGGAAUAUUGGACAAUGGGGGCAACCCUGAUCCAGCGAUGCCGCGUGUGUGAAGAAGGCCUGCGGGUUGUAAAGCACUUUCAGUAGGGAAGAAAAGCCUGGGGCUAAUACCUCCGGGUCUUGACGUUACCUAAAGAAGAAGCACCGGCUAACUCCGUGCCAGCAGCCGCGGUAAUACGGAGGGUGCGAGCGUUAAUCGGAAUUACUGGGCGUAAAGCGCACGUAGGCGGUCUGGUAAGUCGGAUGUGAAAGCCCCGGGCUUAACCUGGGAAUUGCAUUCGAUACUGCCUGACUGGAGUAUGGGAGAGGGAAGCGGAAUUUCCGGUGUAGCGGUGAAAUGCGUAGAUAUCGGAAGGAACAUCAAUGGCGAAGGCAGCUUCCUGGCCCAAUACUGACGCUGAGGUGCGAAAGCGUGGGGAUCAAACA
rnacentral:rRNA from 1 species